rnacentral:rRNA from 1 species
UUGAGAGUGGCGCACGGGUGCGUAACGCGUAUGCAACCUACCCUAUACAGGGGGAUAGCCCGGAGAAAUCUGGAUUAAUACCCCAUAGUACUAUGAUGAGGCAUUUUGUUAUAGUUAAAGAUUCAUCGGUAUAGGAUGGGCAUGCGUCUGAUUAGCUAGUUGGCGGUGUAACGGACCACCAAGGCGACGAUCAGUAGGGGUUCUGAGAGGAAGGUCCCCCACACUGGCACUGAGAUACGGGCCAGACUCCUACGGGAGGCAGCAGUAGGGAAUAUUGGGCAAUGGACGAGAGUCUGACCCAGCCAUGCCGCGUGCAGGAAGACGGCGUUCUGCGUUGUAAACUGCUUUUAUCUGGGAAGAAAAGGCCCAUGCGUGGGACAUUGCCGGUACCAGAUGAAUAAGCACCGGCUAACUCCGUGCCAGCAGCCGCGGUAAUACGGAGGGUGCAAGCGUUGUCCGGAUUUAUUGGGUUUAAAGGGUGCGUAGGCGGCUAUUUAAGUCAGUGGUGAAAGACUCCGGCUCAACCGGGGCAGUGCCAUUGAUACUGGAUAGCUUGAGUAUUGGAGGGGUACAUGGAAUUGAUGGUGUAGCGGUGAAAUGCAUAGAUACCAUCAGGAACACCGAUAGCGAAGGCAUUGUACUGGCCAAUAACUGACGCUGAUGCACGAAAGCAUGGGGAGCGAACAGGAUUAGAUACCCUGGUAGUCCAUGCCGUAAACGAUGAUUACUCGCUGUUAUGGCUUUAUGUUGU